rnacentral:rRNA from 1 species
UACGUAGGGGGCAAGCGUUGUCCGGAUUUAUUGGGCGUAAAGAGCGUGUAGGCGGUCCGGUAGGUCCGUUGUGAAAACUCGAGGCUCAACCUCGAGACGCCGAUGGAAACCCUCAGACUAGAGUCCGGAAGAGGAGAGUGGAAUUCCUGGUGUAGCGGUGAAAUGCGUUGAUAUCGAUAGGAACUCCGGUGGCGAAGGCGGCAUACUGGAUCACUUCUGACGCUGAGGCGCGAAAGCCAGGGGAGCGAACGGG